AGCAGCCGCGGUAAUUCCAGCUCCAAUAGCGUAUAUUAAAGUUGUUGCAGUUAAAAAGCUCGUAGUUGAAUUUCGGGGUUAGUAGAUCGGUCAUGCCACUGGUAUGUACUGGUCUCACUGAUUCCUCCUUCCUGAUGAACCGUAAUGCCAUUAAUUUGGUGUUGUGGGGAAACUGGACUGUUACUUUGAAAAAAUUGAGUGUUUAAAGCAGGCUAACGCUUGAAUACAUUAGCAUGGAAUAAUGAAAUAGGACGUUCGAUCCUAUUUUGUUGGUUUCUAGGAUUGACGUAAUGAUUAAUAGGGAUAGUUGGGGGCAUUAGUAUUCAAUUGUCAGAGGUGAAAUUCUUGGAUUUAUUGAAGACUAACUACUGCGAAAGCAUUUGCCAAGGAUGUUUUCAUUAAUCAAGAACGAAAGUUAGGGGAUCGAAGACGAUCAGAUACCGUCGUAGUCUUAACCAUAAACUAUGCCGACUAGGGAUCGGAUGAUGUUAAUUUUUAUGACUCAUUCGGCGCCUUAAC
rnacentral:rRNA from 1 species